UACGUAGGGGGCAAGCGUUGUCCGGAAUCAUUGGGCGUAAAGCGCGCAUAGGCGGCCCGGUAAGUCCGUUGUGAAAGUCAAAGGCUCAACCUUUGAACACCGAUGGAUACUGCCGGGCUAGAGUCCGGAAGAGGCGAGUGGAAUUCCUGGUGUAGCGGUGGAAUGCGCAGAUAUCAGGAGGAACACCAAUAGCGAAGGCAGCUCGCUGGGACGGUACUGACGCUGAGGCGCGAAAGCGUGGGGAGCGAACAGG
rnacentral:rRNA from 1 species